CAUCUACACUGAGAUCAUCUCCUGUUAGGAACCGUAAACUUCACUCUCAAUGAACUAGGCAAGUGGCGUUCUAUCCAUUUUGGAGACAGGGGAAAAGUCGGGUAUAGGCAAGAACGUUUUCCUAUGCUUGAAUAGGAUGGGGAGCAUUCUAGUUAAACUCCUGGCUACAGUUUGCAGUUGAGGCACCCAGGCAGCUAACCAGCCUUAAAGCGUCACAAUCCUGAAUGAAGCUCCUCUGCACUGACUGCGAAGUCAUGGUUAUGACUGUCCCCAAUCCUGAUCACACACCGGGAGAUUUUUCUCAUGUGAAGAAGCCCAGAAAGGCUGAGUGAUUAGCCCCCGAUCGCACAGCAGGUGGGGGCCCAAAGCAGGAGAGCACUCAGGCCCUCGACCCCACCCCCCGAUGGCUCGAAGUCCUUUGCAGCUGCCAGAGCCUCUGACCUGUGGAGAUGGUCUAGUGUUACUGUUUAAGGCGAAGUUGAAAGAGAAGUGUAGAGCCAGCUGCUAUGCAAAUACCUCCAUCACUCCCCCAUACUCCCAAAGUGGAAGUAUGAAGGUUGAACUGCUGUGUUUCAGAAUCAUCUGUCUUCAUUAAAAAUAGGAUACAGAGUCCUGCACUAAUACAGCAGCACUAUUGAAAAUUGCUGUGUUGGGACUAUUACAGAAUAUUAAAAGGGACCACUCUGAAGAAUGCAAAAAGGUAGUUCAAUGUACUUUGAGUCUUUGGUCUCCCUACUGAGAAUACUUGCAAUCCAGUUUGUAACCAUUAGAGUCAUU